rnacentral:rRNA from 1 species
UCGGGAAUAUUGGUCAAUGGGCGCAAGCCUGAACCAGCCAUGCCGCGUGCAGGAUGAAGGCCCUCAGGGUUGUAAACUGCUUUUGUAUGGGAAUAAAAAAGUCCUUGCGAGGACUCUUGAAGGUACCAUAAGAAUAAGCACCGGCUAACUCCGUGCCAGCAGCCGCGGUAAUACGGAGGGUGCAAGCGUUAUCCGGAUUUACUGGGCGUAAAGGGCGCGUAGGCGGGCGAUCAAGUCAGGGGUGAAAGGCCUGGGCUCAACCUGGGACGUGCCUUUGAAACUGAUUGUCUUGAGUGCGGGAGAGGGUGACGGAAUUCCCAGUGUAGAGGUGAAAUUCGUAGAUAUUGGGAAGAACACCGGUGGCGAAGGCGGUCACCUGGCCCGCAACUGACGCUGAGGCGCGAAAGCGUGGGGAGCAAACAGGAUUAGAUACCCCGGUAGUCC